AGGGAUGCUACCGGGCGACCGGAUGCGGAUCUCGAAAGCCUGUCCCAGUUCGGACUGGAGUCUGCAACCCGACUCCAUGAAGUUGGAUUCGCUAGUAAUCGCGCAUCAGCCAUGGCGCGGUGAAUACGUUCCCGGGCCUUGUACACACCGCCCGUCAAGCCAUGGGAGCCGGGGGCGCCUGAAGUCCGGGACCGCGAGGACCGGCCUAGGGCGAAACUGGUAACUGGGGCUAAGUCGUAACAAGGUACC
rnacentral:rRNA from 1 species